rnacentral:tRNA from 1 species
GCCUGAGUGGCUCAGUCGGUUGAGCGUCCGACUUUGGCUUGGAUCUUGAUCUCAUGGUUCAUGGGUUCGAGCCCCACAUCGGGCU